rnacentral:rRNA from 1 species
GAUGAACGCUGGCGGCGUGCUUAACACAUGCAAGUCGAGCGAGAAGUCUUGAAAAGAUUCUUCGGAUGAAAUUCAAAAUGGAAAGCGGCGGACGGGUGAGUAACGCGUAGGCAACCGGCGCCAUACAAAGGGAUAGCAUUAGGAAACGAAUAUUAAUACCUUACGAAACUUAACAAGUGCAUGCUAGGUAGGUCAAGAAUUUAUCGGUAUGGGAUGGGCCGGCGUCUGAUUAGCUAGUUGGCGAGGUAAAGGCGCACCAAGGGGACGAUCAGAGGCCGACGUACGGAGGUGAGCGCCCACCUUCGAACGGAGGCACCGGCCGAGAACCUACGGCAGGCAGCGGUGGGGUAUAUUACACAAUGCGCGUAGGUCUGAUGCAGCUACGCGGCGUGAACGAUGUAUGCCGUUGAGGAAAAGAGUUCUGUUCUAAGUGAUGUGAACUGACGGUAACCAAAGAGAAAGCCCCGGCUAACUCCGUG